GAUCAAGAGAACAAGGGCACACGGUGGAUGCCUUGGCACCAAGAGCCGAUGAAGGACGUGGGCGGCUGCGAUAAGCCCGGGGGAGGAGCUGACCAUCCCUUGAUCCCGGGAUCUCCGAAUGGGGAAACCCACCGCUGGUAAUGCGGCGGUACCCGCACCUGAAUCCAUAGGGUGCGAGGAGGCAAGCUGGGGAACUGAAACAUCUAAGUACCCAGAGGAAAGGAAAGAAACCUCGACUCCCUGAGUAGUGGCGAGCGAAAGGGGACCAGCCCAAACCCGCGCGACGCGAUAGGCGGCAGCCGUUGUCGUGCGGGGGUUGUAGGGCCCGUCUUGAUCCGUCUGCCGGCGGGUCGGGAAGUUACAAAGUCGCGUGUUAGCCGAAGUGGAUGGAAAGCCACGCCACAGAAGGUAACGGCCCUGUAGGCGAAAGCACGCGGCCUUCCUUGACGGGUACCUGAGUACGGCCGGGCACGGGAAACCCGGUCGGAAUCUGCGGGGACCACCCCGUAAGGCUAAGUACUCCUUGGUGACCGAUAGUGAACGAGUACCGUGAGGGAAAGGUGAAAAGUACCCCGGAAGGGGAGUGAAAUAGUACCUGAAACCGUGUGCCUACAAGCGGUCGGAGCGGAGCAAUCCGUGACGGCGUGCCUUUUGCAUAAUGAGCCAGCGAGUUAGUCUUCCACGGCGAGGUUAAGGAAACGGAGCCGUAGCGAAAGCGAGUCUGAACAGGGCGAUUCAGUCGUGGGAGCUAGACCCGAAACUGAGUGAUCUACCCAUGGCCAGGUUGAAGCGGGGGUAAGACCCCGUGGAGGACCGAACCCACGUCGGUUGAAAACGGCGGGGAUGAGCUGUGGGUCGGAGUGAAAGGCUAAUCAAACUCAGAGAUAUCUGGUUCUCCCCGAAAUAUAUUUAGGUAUAGCGUCACGCGUUCAAUAGCGGUUGUAGAGCACUGUUUGGCCUAGGGGGCCUACCAGCUUACCGAAGUCAGGCAAACUCCGAAUGCCGUUAUUCCAGAGCGUGGCAGUCAGAGUACGGGGGAUAAGCUUCGUGCUCGAGAGGGAAACAGCCCAGACCGUCGGCUAAGGUCCCUAAUUCCAUGCUAAGUGGAAAACGAUGUCCGAUUGCAGAGACAACCAGGAUGUUGGCUUAGAAGCAGCCACCAUUCAAAGAGUGCGUAACAGCUCACUGGUCAAGUGGUCGGGCGCGGACAAUGUAACGGGGCUCAAGCAUGGAACCGAAGCCACGGACUUCACGCUUGCGUGGAGUGGUAGGGGAGCGUUCCCAGCGCGGAGAAGCGGCGGCGGCGAGCCAGCCGUGGAGCGCUGGGAAGCGAGAAUGCUGGCAUGAGUAACGAAAGACGAGUGAGAAACUCGUCCGCCGAAUGCCCAAGGGUUCCUGAGUAAAGCUAAUCUGCUCAGGGUUAGUCGGGACCUAAGCCGAGGCCGAAAGGCGUAGGCGAUGGACAACAGGUUGAUAUUCCUGUACCACGUCCCAACCGCUAUCACCGAAGGGGGGACGGGGUAGGCUAGGGCAACCCAGGCGUUGGUCGACCUGGGGUAACCGCGUAGGGCGGCCGGUAGGCAAAUCCGCCGGCCACGAAGCCUGAGACGGGACGCCGAGGCCCCUCGGGGCCGAAGUGCCUGAAGCCACGCCUCCGAGAAAAGCCUCUAGGGAGGUUGGACGUGCCCGUACCAAAACCGACACAGGUGGGCAGGUAGAGAAUACCAAGGCGAUCGGAAGAACCCUCGUCAAGGAACUCGGCAAAAUGGUCCCGUAACUUCGGGAGAAGGGACGCCCCGGUAGAGUGCAGCCCCUCGCGGGCGUAGCUCGAGGGGGCCGCAGUGAAACGGCCCAAGCGACUGUUUACCAAAAACACAGGUCUCUGCGAAGUCGUAAGACGACGUAUAGGGGCUGACUCCUGCCCGGUGCCGGAAGGUCACGAGGAGAGGUUAGCCUUCGGGCGAAGCCUUGAAUCCAAGCCCCGGUAAACGGCGGCGGUAACUAUAACCGUCCUAAGGUAACGAAGCGCGAAGCGGUUCGGAACGCCGCUUCGUGUCGGUCGCUGCCCCCCGUGCCGGCAACGGCACGGUGCGCAUCUGGCUAUAUGCUGGAAAACCCGGUGAAUCCCGCGCUACUCACUGUGACGUCCGACGGGAUGUCUACAGUAGUGACAACGUGACGGGUGCGGAAGACCAGCAGGAAAGGCCGGCCGAGCUCCGCGGCUGGGUGAUCGGUUUUGUAGAAGGAGAAGGAUGCUUCUCCGUCGGCUUCGUUCGGCAGCCUCGGCGUGCCGGGCGUGCUGGCUGCAAGACCGGCUUCCAGGUGUUUCACGAGUUCGCCGUGACGCAGGCGGCCUCCGGGCUUGUCUGCCUCGAGCAACUCCAUCGUUUCUUCGGCGUCGGCGCCGUGGUUGCGAACAGGCGGUACGACAACCAUCGUGACCCCCUGUUCCGCUACGUCGUGCGGCGGCGCAGCGAUCUGCUGGAGAGGGUCAUUCCAUUCUUCCAGCAGCAUCCGCUCAUCGGGCCGAAGCAGCAGGACUUCGAGAAGUUCGUUCGCUGCCUCGAGCUCGUGCAGGCGGGAGCGCACCUCACCGUCGACGGGCUGGUGAGGAUCGCGCGGAUCGCGGAGACGAUGAACCGGAAGAAGCCCAGGCGCCAGCUCGUCGGAAUCCUCAGAGACCAUACGCCAGACAUCCAGGACACUGGAUGAAGAGAUGGUCCCAUCUGCAUGGCGACAUGCAGGGAUUGCAUGACAAGGAGUGCAAUCCGCGCGUGGUUCUACUCGCGUAAGGCUAGAGCGAAAUUCCUUGUCGGGUAAGUUCCGACCUGCACGAAUGGAGUAACGACUUGGGCGCUGUCUCGACGAGGGAUCCGGUGAAAUUGUAGUUUCGGUGAAGAUGCCGAAUACCCGUGGUUGGACGGAAAGACCCCGUGAACCUUUACUACAGCUUGACGUUGGAGUCUGGGGUUCGUUGUCCAGGAUAGGUGGGAGGCUGUGAAGCGGGGACGCCAGUCCUCGUGGAGCCAACCUUGGGAUACCACCCUGCGUGCUCUGGGCUUCUAACCCGCUGCCGUGAUCCGGGGCGGGAACAGCGUCAGGUGGGUAGUUUGACUGGGGCGGUCGCCUCCUAAAACGUAACGGAGGCGCGCAAAGGUUCCCUCAGCACGGUCGGAAAUCGUGCGUAGAGUGCAAAGGCAUAAGGGAGCUUGACUGCGAGACAGACAUGUCGAGCAGGCGCGAAAGCGGGCCUUAGUGAUCCGGCGGUAACUAGUGGACGUGCCGUCGCUCAACGGAUAAAAGGUACUCCGGGGAUAACAGGCUUAUCCUUCCCAAGAGUCCACAUCGACGGAAGGGUUUGGCACCUCGAUGUCGGCUCGUCGCAUCCUGGGGCUGGAGCAGGUCCCAAGGGUUGGGCUGUUCGCCCAUUAAAGCGGUACGCGAGCUGGGUUCAGAACGUCGUGAGACAGUUCGGUCCCUAUCCACCAUGGGCGCUGGAGCUUUGAGAGGAGUCGUCUCUAGUACGAGAGGACCGAGACGAACAGACCUCUGGUGUAUCAGUCGUCGUGCCAACGGCGCCGCUGAUUAGCCACGUCUGGAUGGGAUAACCGCUGAAAGCAUCUAAGCGGGAAGCCCACCUCGAGAUGAGAGCUCCCAUCCCCUCGAGGGAGUAAGGGCGGUCGGAGACUACGACCUCGAUAGGCGGGACGUGUAAGCGCAGCAAUGCGUUCAGCGGACCCGUACUAAUCGCCCGAGGUCUUGAUCUG
rnacentral:rRNA from 1 species